rnacentral:rRNA from 1 species
UACGUUCCCGGGCCUUGUACACACCGCCCGUCACGUCACGAAAGUCGGUAACACCCGAAGCCGGUGGCCCAACCCGUAAGGGAGGGAGCUGUCGAAGGUGGGAUCGGCGAUUGGGACG